CUACGGGGGGCAGCAGUGGGGAAUAUUGCACAAUGGGCGCAAGCCUGAUGCAGCCAUGCCGCGUGUAUGAAGAAGGCCUUCGGGUUGUAAAGUACUUUCAGCGGGGAGGAAGGGAGUAAAGUUAAUACCUUUGCUCAUUGACGUUACCCGCAGAAGAAGCACCGGCUAACUCCGUGCCAGCAGCCGCGGUAAUACGGAGGUGCAAGCGUUAAUCGGAAUUACUGGGCGUAAAGCGCACGCAGGCGGUUUGUUAAGUCAGAUGUGAAAUCCCCGGGCUCAACCUGGGAACUGCAUCUGAUACUGGCAAGCUUGAGUCUCGUAGAGGGGGGUAGAAUUCCAGGUGUAGCGGUGAAAUGCGUAGAGACCUGGAGGAAUACAGGUGGCGAAGGCGGCCCCCUGGACGAAGACUGACGCUCAGGUGCGAAAGCGUGGGGAGCAAACAGGAUUAGAUACCCUCGUAGUC
rnacentral:rRNA from 1 species